rnacentral:tRNA from 1 species
GGUUCUGUAGUGUAGCGGUUAUCACGUCGCCCUGUCACGGCGAAGAUCGCGGGUUCGUACUCCGUCAGAACCG